GACGAAGGUGGCGACCGUUGUUCGGAAUCACUGGGCAUAAAGAGCACGUAGGCGGCAGGGUAUGUCGGGUGUGAAAUCCCUCGGCCCAACCGAGGAAUUGCGCCCGAAACUACCUUGCUUGAGGAUGGAAGGGGAGCGUGGAAUUCCUGGUGGAGCGGUGAAAUGCGUUGAUAUCAGGAGGAACACCGGCGGCGAAGGCGACGCUCUGGUCCAUUACUGACGCUGAGGUGCGAAAGCCAGGGGAGCAAACGGGAUUAGAAACCCCCGUAGUCC
rnacentral:rRNA from 1 species